GCGGCCCCUGGACAAGACUGACGCUCAGGUGCGAAGCGUGGGGAGCAAACAGGAUAGAUACCUGGUAGUCACGCUGUAAACGAUGUCGAUUUGGAGGUUGUUCCCUUGAGGAGUGGCUUCCGGAGCUAACGCGUUAAAUCGACCGCCUGGGGAGUACGGCCGCAAGGUUAAAACUCAAAUGAAUUGACGGGGGCCCGCACAAGCGGUGGAGCAUGUGGUUUAAUUCGAUGCAACGCGAAGAACCUUACCUACUCUUGACAUCCAGAGAAUUUAGCAGAGAUGCUUUAGUGCCUUCGGGAACUCUGAGACAGGUGCUGCAUGGCUGUCGUCAGCUCGUGUUGUGAAAUGUUGGGUUAAGUCCCGCAACGAGCGCAACCCUUAUCCUUUGUUGCCAGCACAUUAUGGUGGGAACUCAAAGGAGACUGCCGGUGAUAAACCGGAGGAAGGUGGGGAUGACGUCAAGUCAUCAUGGCCCUUACGAGUAGGGCUACACACGUGCUACAAUGGCGUAUACAAAGAGAAGCGACCUCGCGAGAGCAGGCGGAACUCAUAAAGUACGUCGUAGUCCGGAUUGGAGUCUGCAACUCGACUCCAUGAAGUCGGAAUCGCUAGUAAUCGUAGAUCAGAAUGCUACGGUGAAUACGUUCCCGGGCCUUGUACACACCGCCCGUCACACCAUGGGAGUGGGUUGCAAAAGAAGUAGGUAGCUUAACCUUCGGGAGGGCGCUUACCACUUUGUGAUUCAUGACUGGGGUGAAGUCGUAACAAGGUAACCA
rnacentral:rRNA from 1 species